GCCUAAAGCGUCCGUAGCCUGUUCUAUAAGUUUCCGGUUAAAUCCACUAGCUCAACUAAUGGGCUGCCGGAAAAACUGUAGAUCUAGGGAGUGGGAGAGGUAGACGGUACUCGAUAGGAAGGGGUAAAAUCCUUUGAUCUAUUGAUGACCACCAGUGGCGAAGGCGGUCUACCAGAACACGUUCGACGGUGAGGGAUGAAAGCUGGGGGAGCAAACCGGAUUAGAUACCCGGGUAGUCCCAGCUGUAAACGAUGCAGACUCGGUGAUGCAUUGGCUUGUGGCCAGUGCAGUGCCGCAGGGAAGCCGUUAAGUUUGCCGCCUGGGAAGUACGUACGCAAGUAUGAAACUUAAAGGAAUUGGCGGGGGAGCACCACAAGGGGUGAAGCCUGCGGUUCAAUUGGAGUCAACGCCAGAAAUCUUACCCGGAGAGACAGCAGAAUGAAGGUCAAGCUGAAGACUUUACCAGACAAGCUGAGAGGUGGUGCAUGGCCGUCGCCAGCUCGUGCCGUGAGAUGUCCUGUUAAGUCAGGUAACGAGCGAGACCCUUGCCUCUAGUUGCCACCAUUGCUCUCUGGAGCAGUGGGGCGAAUUAGCGGGACCGCCGCAGUUAAUGCGGAGGAAGGAAAGGGCUACGGCAGGUCAGUAUGCCCCGAA
rnacentral:rRNA from 1 species